AUUGAACGCUGGCGGCAGGCCUAACGCAUGCAAGUCGAGCGGUUGAAGGGAUCUUGCUCCUGUAUUCAUCGGCGGACGGGUGAGUAGUGCGUAAGAAUCUGCCUGGUAGUGGGGUAUUACUUCCUGUAACCGUCGCUAAUACGGCAUUCCGCCAUAGGGAGAAUGUGUGGGAUCUUCGGACCGCGCACUAACAUGUUACCCUAGGUCGGAUUAGCUGGUUGGUGGGGUAAAGGCCUACCAAGGCGACGAUCCGUAACUGGUCUGAGAGGAUGAUCAGUCACAAUGGAACUGAGACAAGGCCCAGAAUCCUACGGGAGGCAGCAGUGGGGAAUAUUGUACAAUGGGCGAAAGCAUGCUCCAGCCAUGCCGCGUGUGUGAAGAAGGUCUUCGGCUUGUAAAGCACCUUAAGUUGGGAGGAAGGGCAGUAAGUUAAUACCUUGCUGUUUUGACGUUACCAACAGAAUAAGCACCGGCUAACUUCGUG
rnacentral:rRNA from 1 species